rnacentral:lncRNA from 1 species
UGAUUUGUUGUGGUAACUCGUUAUCCCACUACAAAUUAUCGUAACUUCAACAGCACAUCGGGAACGUAGCCGAAAAUGAUUCGAGCAGAUCCGCUUCACUUUAUUUGUUUUAUUCUAGUCAGUUCUCUCGGCCUUCUGCAACAAGUUGCAAGCCAGACAGCGCUCCAAUCUGAUCGAGAGAUCUACGAAUCAUUCACCUGUGAAUAGAAAACCAAAGAUUUAAUCUGCCCCGAUGGACAAGGCAUUGUAAUUGAUUUUGCCAACUACGGGCGUACAACCCACCCAGUUUGCGUGAUGGACCCGGUGCGUGACGGACCCAAUACUUGUAGCAACCCGUCUCACACGAGCGUCGUCGCGUCAUUCUGUAAUGGUCAGUCGAAUUGCGUCGUCCCCGCUACCAAUUUAUUUUUUGGUGACCCAUGUCCUACCAUUGUCAAAUAUUUGCAAAUCAACUACUACUGCGAGACUUUGAUCCCAUCCGCGAUCAAAGAAUCGUUUACUUGCGAGUGGCAAUCCAAAACGUUGACUUGCCCCAGCGGCCAAAGCAUCAUCGUCGAUUACGCCAACUACGGCCGUACAACCCACCCAGUUUGCGUGAUGGACCCGGUGCGUGACGGACCCAAUACUUGUAGCAACCCGUCUCACACGAGCGUCGUCGCGUCACACUGCGACGGCAAGUCGAAUUGCGUUGUCCCCGCUACCAAUUUUGUUUUUGGUGACCCAUGUCCUACCAUUGUCAAAUAUUUGCAAAUCCAAUAUCACUGUGCUUGAAUUUGAGAGGAAAUGGAACGGCUUAUUAUAGUGAAAACUAUACAAGGGAAUUUUAUUAUGAUAUUGGUGGAAAUAAACGCCAUAUAGA